UACAGAGGUCUCAAGCGUUGUUCGGAUUCAUUGGGCGUAAAGGGUGCGUAGGCGGUUUGUCGCGUCGGGAGUGAAAACACCGGGCUUAACUCGGUGCUUGCUUUCGAUACGGGCAGACUAGAGGCAUGCAGGGGAGAACGGAAUUCCUGGUGUAGCGGUGAAAUGCGCAGAUAUCAGGAGGAACACCGGUGGCGAAGGCGGUUCUCUGGAACGCAACUGACGCUGAGACGCGAAAGCGUGGGGAGCAAACAGG
rnacentral:rRNA from 1 species